rnacentral:rRNA from 1 species
GACGAACGCUGGCGGCGUGCUUAGCACAUGCAAGUCGAACGGAAAGGCCCUGCUUUUGUGGGGUGCUCGAGUGGCGAACGGGUGAGUAACACGUGAGUAACCUGCCCUUGACUUUGGGAUAACUUCAGGAAACUGGGGCUAAUACCGGAUAGGAGCUCCUGCUGCAUGGUGGGGGGUGGAAAGUUUCGGCGGUUGGGGAUGGACUCGCGGCUUAUCAGCUUGUUGGUGGGGUAGUGGCUUACCAAGGCUUUGACGGGUAGCCGGCCUGAGAGGGUGACCGGCCACAUUGGGACUGAGAUACGGCCCAGACUCCUACGGGAGGCAGCAGUGGGGAAUAUUGCACAAUGGGCGGAAGCCUGAUGCAGCAACGCCGCGUGCGGGAUGACGGCCUUCGGGUUGUAAACCGCUUUCGCCUGUGACGAAGCGUGAGUGACGGUAAUGGGUAAAGAAGCACCGGCUAACUACGUG